GGAAAGUAGUGGCCUCAACCAUUCCAUUGUAUGCUAUGUCAUGUUUUCAUUUUCCAUCUUCCCUUUGCCAUAAGAUCAAUAACUUAGUCUCAAAUUUUUGGUGGGGGUAAUAAAAGGAAGAAAAAAAAUUGCAUUAGAUAGCUUGGUCUCAGUUACGUUAAGAUAAAAGGAGUGGAGGGCUAGGUUUAGAGAUAUGGAAAGCUUUAACAGAGUAUUACUGCUAAACAAUGCUGGAGAAUUCUAUCUCACCCUAAUUUCUUACUGGCCCAUCUUCUGAAAGGGAAAUACAUCUCUUAUUCCUCUUUUUAGUGGGCACAUCAAUGUAAUAGAGUUUCAUGGGGUUGGCAGAGUAUUCUUUGGGGCAGGAAUGUGCUUAAGCAUGGCAUCUACUGGAAUGUAGGGAAUGGAGCAUCCAUCUUAUGCAAGGAAGAUAACUGGGUGCCGAAUUUAUUUCCUCACCCACCUCGUGUCAAAACAAAUCAUAAUCCUAUAGUUGUUUGCGUUUCCCAGUUGAUUCAGAGAUCUACCAACUCUUGGAUUAUUCAUGCUCUUAACGAAAAUUUUCUAGAGGAAGUUGUCCAACAGAUUCUUGCUAUGCCUAUACCUUGGUUUCAGAGGGAAGACAGAAUGGUUUGGCACUUUGACAUUAAGGGCAAUUGUACUAUGAAGUCAAGUUAUAAGGUAGCUUGUCUAAUUCACUCUUAACAAAGAUUCAGCUCAAGGAGGUCCAAGACCAAAUUAUUAGAACAAAAAUUCUUCUUUUUGGUGUGUUUUUUGGAGGCUGCAAAAGCCCAAUAAAUUGAAAAUCUUUCUUUAGUGCCUUUUUCAUGAAAAACUGUCGUGUAAUGAUUUAUUAAACAAACAACUUCACAUUGUUCCUGACUGUAUUUUCUAUAACUAAAGGGAAACUCUUCACCAUCUUUUUUUUAUCUGUCCUUAUGUUGCAACUCUAUGGCUUCAUUCUCCCAUACUAUUACAGUCCACUCUUUUAUCUAAUUCCAACAUGAUGAAUUGCUAGACUGAAGUCACUUCUCCUCUUUCAAUGCAUCAAGAGGGUAAGGAGCUCAUUCAGAGGAUUGCCUUCAUAUUCUGGCACCUUUGGAAAAGCCAGAAUGCAAAGAUUUUUAACAAUUAAAAUUUUAGGUUCCAAGAGGUUCUUUUUGCAGCAUCCAAACACUUUGAAGAAUUUCAGGAGGCAAAUGUUUCAGAGGCAAUAUCCCACUCCCAUUUUAUCUCUCCUAUGCAGUUGUGGUCUCCUCCCCCAACUCCCUUAUGCAAAAUCAAUUUUGAUGCCGCAGUUGAUAAGAGUCGAAAUAAGGAAGUUGUGGCCAGAGUUUACAAGGAUCAUUCAAGUAGUGUCUUGGAUUAGAGGUGCAAACUUUGUUCCUCUAUGAAAAAUCCUUCGAUUUUAAAGAGUGUAGCAUACAAGGAGGCAAUUCUGUGUGCCAAGGAUAGAGGCUUUAAUAAUGCAGUGAUUGAAGGUGAUUCUUCAAUUGUCAUUGAUGCUUUGUGGGGUAAUCCUUCCUCAGUCAUCAUACAAAGUGUCAUCUUGGCCAUCCUGGAAUUAUCCAAAAGCCUCGCAAACAUUAGCUUCUUAGUCAUUCGGAGAGGUUGCAACGCAGCAGUGCAUACUUGCUUCUUAGUGUAUUCACGAUGCUAAUUUCAAAUAUAACUCUUAUAUGCAACUAAAUUUUG
rnacentral:misc_RNA from 1 species